UUGCAAACAGGUCAAGCUGUGCACUCUAGACAGACUGCCGUGGACAACACGGAGGAAGGUGGGGAUGACGUCAAAUCAUCAUGCCCCUUAUGAUCUGGGCUACACACGUGCUACAAUGGCCGGUACAACGGGCAGCGAAGGAGCGAUCCGGAGCGAAUCCUAAAAAGCCGGUCCCAGUUCGGAUUGCAGGCUGAAACUCGCCUACAUGAAGUUGGAGUUGCUAGUAAUCGCGAAUCAGAAUGUCGCGGUGAAUGCGUUCCCGGGUCUU
rnacentral:rRNA from 1 species